rnacentral:rRNA from 1 species
CCCGGCCCUUAGAUGUUCGGGGCCGCACGCGUGCUACACUGAGUGGAUCAGCGGGUCAGGUUGCGCGAAAGCGUUUCCUAAUCUUUAAAUCCGCUCGUGAUGGGGAUUGACGGUUGCAAUUUUCUGUCAUGAACGAGGAAUACCUUGUAAGCGCGGGUCAUCAUCCCGCGCUGAAUACGUCCCUGCCCUUUGUACACACCGCCCGUCGCUCCUACCGAUUGAGUGGUCCGGUGAGGCUUUGGGAUCUGAGCGGAAAGAGCGUUUCGCUGUUUCUGCUCGGAAAACUCAGUCGAACCUUAUCAUUUAGAGGAAGGGGAAGUCGUAACA